rnacentral:rRNA from 1 species
AGCGAACGCUGGCGGCAGGCCUAACACAUGCAAGUCGAACGAACCUUUCGGGGUUAGUGGCGGACGGGUGAGUAACACGUGGGAACGUGCCUUUAGGUUCGGAAUAACUCAGGGAAACUUGUGCUAAUACCGAAUGUGCCCUUCGGGGGAAAGAUUAAUCGCCUUUAGAGCGGCCCGCGUCUGAUUAGCUAGUUGGUUGAGGUAAUGGCUCACCAAGGCGACGAUCAGUAGCUGGUCUAAGAGGAUGAUCAGCCACAUUGGGACUGAGACACGGCCCAAACUCCUACGGGAGGCAGCAGUGGGGAAUCUUGCGCAAUGGGCGAAAGCCUGACGCAGCCAUGCCGCGUGAAUGAUGAAGGUCUUAGGAUUGUAAAAUUCUUUCACCGGGGACGAUAAUGACGGUACCCGGAGAAGAAGCCCCGGCUAACUUCGUG